GAUGAACGCUGGCGGCGUGCCUAAUACAUGCAAGUCGAGCGAACGGACGAGAAGCUUGCUUCUCUGAUGUUAGCGGCGGACGGGUGAGUAACACGUGGAUAACCUACCUAUAAGACUGGGAUAACUUCGGGAAACCGGAGCUAAUACCGGAUAAUAUUUUGAACCGCAUGGUUCAAAAGUGAAAGACGGUCUUGCUGUCACUUAUAGAUGGAUCCGCGCUGCAUUAGCUAGUUGGUAAGGUAACGGCUUACCAAGGCAACGAUGCAUAGCCGACCUGAGAGGGUGAUCGGCCACACUGGAACUGAGACACGGUCCAGACUCCUACGGGAGGCAGCAGUAGGGAAUCUUCCGCAAUGGGCGAAAGCCUGACGGAGCAACGCCGCGUGAGUGAUGAAGGUCUUCGGAUCGUAAAACGCUGUUAUUAGGGAAGAACAUAUGUGUAAGUAACUGUGCACAUCUGGACGGUACCUAAUCAGAAAGCCACGGCUAACUACGU
rnacentral:rRNA from 1 species